UACGAAGGGUGCAAGCGUUACUCGGAAUUACUGGGCGUAAAGCGUGCGUAGGUGGUUUGUUAAGUCUGAUGUGAAAGCCCCGGGCUCAACUGGGAGAGGUCCUUGCAUACUGGCAAACUCGAGGGAGGCAGAGGAAAGUGGAAUUCCCGGUGUAGUGGUGAUAUGCGUAGAUAUCGGGAGGAACACCUGUGGCGAAGGCGGCUUUCUGGGCCUUACCUGACGCUGAGACGCGAAAGCGUGGGGAGCGAACCGG
rnacentral:rRNA from 1 species